rnacentral:lncRNA from 1 species
GAUGCAAUUCCUUUAAGACAUGUCUUUGACAAUGUCCCAAUGUGUCCCAAUGGACACAGAGGAUCAACAGACACUCAACGUUCAGCAUGGUAAGAGAUAUGUAUCCAGGCACACAAUAUACUAUAUAGACUCGUAGUAGCAUUAAGCACGCGUGGACACUUGUACACUAAACAAAUAAAGCUACAGAAAGGGAGCUGUGGGUUGACCAUCAUCCUUCACCGUACCAUGAAAGACACGAUGAAAGCAAGCAGCAGCCUGUAUGUGGACCCCAUAACAGCAAUGAGUAAACAAAUUACAGGCACUAGGUUGCCUUGAACAUACACCCCUCACAGCUGCAGCAACGGUGACCAAAAGACCCAAAGGCGUGUAAACUGGCUGCCAGAAAAACAAUAAAAUGGUUAUAAUACU